UACCUACCUAUACCUUACAUAUGUAUUUUAUUAAAUUAGCAUUUUUAACUAUUAAUUUGAAGAUUAAGGAAAGUUCGGUAUAUGGAAACUUAAUCAAUCACCAAAAUAAUUUAACCAACAUCAAUUAAUUUAAGUUUAAAAAUAAUAAUAAUUUUAACUUGAAAAACAUUUUAUUUGAUAAAAAUUAUAAAAAAGCUCUCAUACAUUGCACAAUGGGUGGACUACUGUUUUAGGUGGAAAAUUGGGGAGGAUAUAGAGAGUAAUUUAAUUCAUAUUUGUUUGCAAUGAUAAACCAUUGCUAACGAAAAACGAUUUGGAGUGAAGUUCGGUUAAUACAUGUUUUAGCCCGUAAUAUUUU